rnacentral:sRNA from 1 species
AUGAGGAACAAAUUUCUUUAAUUAUUCAGCAAGGCAUACAAAGACCUGUUACUCUGUGGGGAUAUGAUUGUGCUGCUAUUGUUUUCCCAUUAAGCAAAGAUAAAGGGGAAUAUUUAAUGCAGAUGUCUGAGGUUUUUCAAUUAGCCAUGAUUUCUUACACUGGAAAUGUUGAAUUUCAUCCUCCCCAUAGUAAAUUGUGGGAUUGCUUUAAAAAACAAAAAAAAAUUUGAUAAAUACACUAAUUUCUGUUGAUCCAUUACCAUCAGCCCUUACUGUGUUUACAGAUGGCUCUAAGACCAAGAUGGCUUAUUGGACCAAAGAUUAAUUUUGGGGACAAGAAUCUUCUUUUGGGUCCACAUUAAGAACACAUGCAAAUGGGUAUCACCAUCUGAACAACUUAGUAUCAUCUACUCAGUAUAUCUAGCCUAAUACUGUGCUAUGACAAUCUCAAGCUUCCUUGAGUUUCGCUGACCCAGCAAGAAGUAUGAAGUACUGAGGCCACACCCCAGUGAUCCUUUCAAGGGGUUAGAAGAAAGCCAUGAGAGAAACUCCACUUCUUUGUCCUUAGAUUAAAUAACAUUGACACAAUGUGGGUGGACUAUUUAACCAGACAUGUUUCUCCCAACCCCACCUUUCUGAGUUCAGACCAUGGCAGAAUUCAUGCCCCACCACCCUAGAUAUUGAGUUUAGUGAUAUGUAAUUAUUAUUUAAACCUAUGUAUUAAAUUUUGUCAUUUUGUUAA